rnacentral:misc_RNA from 1 species
GAACGCACAUUGCGCCCCUUGGUAUUCCGAGGGGCAUGCCUAUUCGAGCGUCAUUAUCACCCCUCAAGCCUAGCUUGGUGUUGAGACCUGCUGUCAAGGCAGUCUCUAAAAUCAGUGGCAGUGCUGUCAGGCUCUAAGCGUAGUAAUACUUCUCGCUACAGGGUCCCGGUGGAUGCCUGCCAUCAACCCCUAAAUUUCUAUGGUUGACCUCGGAUCGGGUAGGGAUACCCGCUGAACUUAAG